CCUUUGCUGGUUUCUUUCCAGUGCAACGGCUGGACGUGGUAUCUUGCCAAUGACUUUCAGUUCCAUCUCAUGACCCCGGUGAUCCUCUUCAUCCACGGAAAAAAUCAACACGCCCUUGUCCUCCACGGGGCCACGCUGUUCUUGGCAUCUUUCACCGCCUCUGCUCUGCUCACACUGGCUUAUAACCUUCCGGUGGCAGCUCCGUCAGAAGCAAGGUGCAGGCUCUGCUACGGUGGAUUUGCUCUCUGUCGACCCUGUCCCCAGUGGCUGCCCUGGCAUACAUGGUGGGUGACGCGUCCGCCGCCUCUUCAGUUGCCGC